UACGUAGGGGGCAAGCGUUGUCCGGAAUUAUUGGGCGUAAAGAGCGCGUAGGCGGUCCGAUAAGUCGGCUGUGAAAGUCCAGGGCUCAACCCUGGAAAGCCGGCCGAUACUGUCGGACUAGAGUUCGGAAGAGGCGAGGUGGAAUUCCCGGUGUAGCGGUGAAAUGCGCAGAUAUCGGGAGGAACACCAAUUGCGAAGGCAGCUCGCUGGGACGAUACUGACGCUGAGGCGCGAAAGCGUGGGGAGCAAAGCAGG
rnacentral:rRNA from 1 species